AUACUUACCUGGCAGGGGAGACACCAUGAUCACGAAGGUGGUUUUCCCAGGGUGAGGCUCACCCAUUGCACUCCGGAUGUGCUGACCCCUGCGAUUUCCCCAAAUGUGGGAAACUCGACUGCAUAAUUUGUGGUAGUAGGGGACUGCGUUCGCGCUAUCCCCUG
rnacentral:snRNA from 1 species